GGAGAGGUGGCAGAGUGGUCGAAUGCGGCGGUCUCGAAAACCGCUAUACCCGCAAGGGUAUCGGGGGUUCAAAUCCCUCCCUCUCCG
rnacentral:tRNA from 1 species